CCAAAAAUCUAGCUUAUAUCACCAUCUCCCCUCAUAACCCCAAACAAAAUAUUUUAACACUAUAGUAGAGAAGAUCGAAAUUUACAUUAAAGCUAUAAAUAUGUACCGCAAGGGAAAGAUGAAAUAAAAAUGAAAAACUUUAAGCACAAAAAAGUAGAGAUACCCCCUCGUACCUUUUGCAUCAUGGUUUAGCUAGUUUAAUUAGGCAAAAAGACCCUUAAGUCUAACCCCCCGAAACUAAGUGAGCUAAUUUAGGGCCGCUUAAUGAGCCAACCCGUCUAUGUUACAAAAUAGUGGGAAGACCCUAAAAUAGAGGUGACAGACCUAACGAACUUAGUUAUAGCUGGUUUCUCAAGAAAAGAAUUUCAGUUCCGCCUAAAGCAAUAUAAAUCCAAAUAAAUCACCCAUACCCUUUAGAGUAACUCAAAUAAGGUACAGCCUAUUUGAUACAGGAUCCAACCUUAAUUUACGGGUAAUAUCAAACCUAAUACACUUAAGUAGGCCUAGCAGCAGCCACCUUUAAAAAAGCGUUAAAGCUUACCCACAUCAGGCACAAUUCACUAAUAACUAUUGACCCCCAUUACCGUACUGAGAACUUCUAUAUCCCUAUAGAAAAUAUUAUGCUAAAACUAGUAACAAGAGGAGCAACCUCUCUUUAGUGCAAACUUAGGCCAGCAAGAAUUCCCCACUGGCAAUUAACAGACCUACCCAAAAGUAAUAACUACUCCAGAAAACCCUACUUUCCUAACUGUUAACCUAACACCAGAGCACUCCCAGAAAGAUUAAAAGAAAAAGAAGGAACUCGGCAAAUACUAGUCCCGCCUGUUUACCAAAAACAUCGCCUCUUGCUCCCAUAAGAGGUCCAGCCUGCCCAGUGACCUAGUUCAACGGCCGCGGUAUCCUAACCGUGCGAAGGUAGCGUAAUCACUUGUCUUCUAAAUAAAGACUAGUAUGAAAGGCACCACGAGAACUAAACUGUCUCCCUUUUCCAAUCAGUGAACCUAAUACCCCCGUGAAGAAGCGGGGAUUUUAUAAUAAGACGAGAAGACCCUAUGGAGCUUUAAACACUAUAAUCACUUGAUCAAACCAAAAUACCCAGGUUACCUCACCCAAAUCCAUAAUGAUUAUAUGUUUUUGGUUGGGGUGACCGCGGAGAAAAAUCCAUCCCCCGCGAUGAAAACACCUGCCUAAACAACAAGCCACAGCUUUAUGUAUCAACAAAUUGACAUCAUUGACCCAAUAAAUUGAUUAACGAACCAAGUUACCCUAGGGAUAACAGCGCAAUCCACUUCAAGAGCUCCUAUCGACAAGUGGGCUUACGACCUCGAUGUUGGAUCAGGGUAUCCAAGUGGUGCAGCCGCUACUAAAGGUUCGUUUGUUCAACGAUUAAAACCCCACGUGAUCUGAGUUCAGACCGGAGUAAUCCAGGUCAGUUUCUAUCUAUUACAAGGCUUUUUUUAGUACGAAAGGACCAAAAAAGCAUAGCCUAUACCCAAAUAAGCUA
rnacentral:rRNA from 1 species